UGCGGCUGUGCAACUCGGUUUUGCGCGUGUUGGUCUGCCAUGCCAACGGGUGCUGUUCCAGUUCGGCAAUCAGCAC
rnacentral:tRNA from 1 species